AGGGAGUUCUCAGGUUCUAGUUUUUCUGGACAAUAUAGGGUAUGUGAACUCAGAUAAUGGAUUAUGAGAAGUGAUUAGUUUUGUGAGUUCUCUGUAUAUUUUAUUUUCUUUUGAGACAAAGUCUUGCUCUGUAGCGCAGGCUGAAGUACAAUGGCAUCAUCAUGGCUCACUGCAAUCAUCCUGGCUCAUCAUCAUUCCUGGGCUCAAGCAAUCCUUCUGCCUCAGCCUCCCAAGUAGCUGGGACCACAGGGGAUCAUGGACAUUGAAGCAUAUUUUGAAAGAAUUGGCUAUAAGCGCUCUAGGAACAAACUGGACUUGGAAAUAUUAACUGACAUUCUUGAACACCAGAUCUGAGCUGUUCACUUUGAGAAUCUUAACAUGCACUGUGAGGAAGCUAUGCCUCAAGUACAGUGAUACAGUUGUGUACAAAUGAGUCAAGUAAAUUAUGUUGCACAAUGAGUAUCCUGAAGCCCAAAUCAAUUAUUUUGUUCUUGACUAUAUAUAGCACAUAAUGGAAAAGGCAAAACUAUGCUCAAACAGAUUCAGAAAUAUCUAAUUUACCUUCCAGGUUGAAGACUUCUGCCCUUAUUACACAAUGUUACCUUUUCUCAAAUGAAAUCUAAAUGAGUGAAGAAGAAUCUUGCCCACUGAUUUGGCCAGAGAUUUUUAAGGUGCCUCUUAAUUCUUUGUGUUUGUCUAAACCUAUGUCUCUGUUUUGGUGGCCCCCUGAGAGUAGGAUGUAGUAUGUCUUGUUAGAACUCUGAGAAAAGUAAGGUAGAAAAUAAACCUUCUAGAUGUAAGUUGGAAGGUGGAGUG
rnacentral:lncRNA from 13 species